rnacentral:rRNA from 1 species
CCCUUAGAUGUUCUGGGCCGCACGCGCGCUACACUGAUGCAUUCAACGAGUCUAAAACCUGCUCUGAUAGGGGUGGGUAAUCCUUUGAAUGUGCAUCGUGAUUGGGAUAGAUGAUUGCAAUUUUUCAUCUUCAACGAGGAAUGCCUAGUAAACGCAAGUCAUCAGCUUGCAUUGAUUACGUCCCUGCCCUUUGUACACACCGCCCGUCGCUCCUACCGAUUGAAUGAUCCGAUGAAUAUCAUAGACUGAGAGUAUAAGCAGGUUCGCCUGUCUUUGCUUCUCGGGAAGUGAAGUAAAUCUUAUCAUUUAGAGGAAGGAGAAGUCGUAACA